rnacentral:rRNA from 1 species
CGCCUUGUGAUCAUUUUUAUAUAGAAGGUCCCGCCUGCCCUGUGACUUUAUGUUUAACGGCCGCGGUAUUUUAACCGUGCAAAGGUAGCGCAAUCAAUUGUCUUUUAAAUGGAGACCUGUAUGAAUGGCACCACGAGGGUUUAACUGUCUCUUUUUCCCAGUCAAUGAAACUGAUCUGCCCGUGCAGAAGCGGGCAUUUACCCAUAAGACGAGAAGACCCUAUGGAGCUUUAGACGCUAACUAACCAUGAAAAGCAAUCUAGCCAGAAGAUAAGCCAAAUAACAUGAUUUUAGCCCAAACGUCUUCGGUUGGGGCGACCACGGGAGAAAACAAAGCUCCCGAGCGGAUAGGGGACCUCCCUAAAACCCUGAGCCACAGCUCUAAGUCACAAAAAAUUUGACCGACAAUGAUCCGGCUUAGCUGCCGAUCAACGAACCAAGUUACCCUAGGGAUAACAGCGCAAUCCCCUCCCAGAGUCCAUAUCGACGAGGGGGUUUACGACCUCGAUGUUGGAUCAGGACAUCCUGAUGGUGCAGCCGCUAUCAAGGGUUCGUUUGUUCAACGAUUAAAGUCCU